AGAGUUUGAUCCUGGCUCAGGACGAACGCUGGCGGCGUGCUAACACAUGCAAGUCAAGGGGGCCCAGCAAUGGGCAACCGGCGAACGGGUGCGUAACACGUGAGCAACCUACCGAACUGUGGGGGAUAGCCGGCCUAACGGCCGAGUAAUACCGCAUACGCUUUCAGUGAGGCAUUUCACUGAAAGGAAACCUACGGGACAGAUCGAGGGGCUCGCGGCCUAUCAGCUAGUUGGCGAGGUAACGGCUCACCAAGGCAACGACGGGUAGCUGGUCUGAGAGGAUGGCCAGCCACAUUGGGACUGAGAUACGGCCCAGACUCCUACGGGAGGCAGCAGUGGGGAAUCUUGCGCAAUGGCCUAACGGCUGACGCAGCGACGCCGCGUGUGGGAUGAAGCUCUUCGGAGUGUAAACCACUGUUGCCCGGGACGAAUAGCUCGAUUAAUCGAGCCUGACGGUACCGGGUGAGGAAGCACCGGCUAACUCCGUGCCAGCAGCCGCGGUAAUACGGGGGGUGCGAGCGUUGUCCGGAAUCACUGGGCGUAAAGGGCGCGUAGGUGGUUUGAUAAGGGUGUGGUGAAAGUCCGGGGCUCAACCCCGGAUCUGCCGUGCCGACUGUCAAACUCGAGGACUGUAGAGGCAGACGGAAUUCCGGGUGUAGCGGUGGAAUGCGUAGAGAUCCGGAGGAAGACCGGUGGCGAAGGCGGUCUGCUGGGCAGUUUCUGACACUGAGGCGCGACAGCGUGGGGAGCAAACAGGAUUAGAUACCCUGGUAGUCCACGCCGUAAACGAUGGGUACUAGGUGCCUGGGGGAGCGACCCUCUGGGUGCCGGCGCUAACGCAGGAAGUACCCCGCCUGGGGAGUACGACCGCAAGGUUGAAACUCAAAGGAAUUGACGG
rnacentral:rRNA from 1 species